rnacentral:lncRNA from 10 species
AAGCACUACUAUGGACUCAGGCUGCAGUUACAGUCAACAACCCUCCCUCCACCAAGAUCAGCACAGAGAGUCUCUCCCCAACAUCCUCAUAUCACAGCACGCUCCAGGACUGGGGAAUCCCUGAGGAUGGCUCAGGGCAGCCCAGCCUCCUUUCUGAAAACAGGAUUCAGAGCUCAUAGAAGCCUCCCUGCCCUGGGAGUCUCAAGAGAGCACUUAAGCACAGACACCUGGUUUAGCUUGGUAGGCACCCCUAGCCUGCGGAGCUUACCCCCGCCGCACACAUCUGGAGAGUCAACCAUUACAAAGAGAAAUAGCAGGACUGGUCCUGCCCCUCCGGGAUGGUGCCGCCAGUCUAGAGUAAAAUGCCAAGCACGGGCUCAAGACUCCUGCUGAGGCCAAUGCAGACCCUGCCAUCUCAGCAUCUUACUCAGCCUCUCUUCCUCCCAGAAGCUGGCCCUGCCAGCUCUGGCUCCUGUGGGUCUCUCCCCAACUGGGAACUCCUGCAGCACUUGCGGCCCUGACCCUGCAGCUUCACACCGACUCCUACCAGCUGGAGGGCCCUCACCUAUCUACGUUAGGCUUUCUGCAGACUGACAAGACCUUUGAGAAUUCUGUCAUCCACAUCCCCUUGCAGGGCCUGGAGCGGGGCUUGUUCAAGGUAAAUGUACAGCAAAUGUUUCUGUUCAUAAUGACUUAAGAUAGGGUCUCUGCCAUUGAGAAUAUUCCUUGAGGAAUAUUCUGCUACAUUUGUAUUCAUAGAAUUUAGAGCUCAAAGGAGCCCAGGAGACCCCUGUUCUAUCC